ACAGGUGCGCGUGAUCUUCUCGACUAAUUAGCCAAUCUCUCGUUCCUGAUGCCGCGAGAAGAACCCUUUCUGACUGUCACGCUCUCCGCGAUGAUCGACGAUCGUCUCUCGCUCGUUCGCGCUUAGAUCAAAGGAUGCUUCGUGUGGGACACGCGUUGGUAAUUUUGCAGGUUGCGACGCAGAUUUAACGGUAAGGUCUGAUGAUUCUCAAUUUUCCGUGAGCCUUCGUGCAACGAACAGAGCGUUCGGAAUUUUUAUUGAUAAGGAGACAUCGAGAUAUGGGUAUUUUUGACUAAGAAAAUCAUUUUUAGUUGCGGUGAUUUGUAUCGCAAUUGGUGGUAAGAAUUAGUGCAAAGAGCAACGUUAAUAAUCGGUUUUAUAUACUCUUCUCCAGAAGGGAAAACGACAAGAAGGAGGCACAGCAAGGAGGCUAAAGACCAAAGUUGCAAUAGUUUUUAGUCAUUAGUUGAUAAUUUAUAGUUCCUAAUGCUUAGUUUUUAGAGGUAGAAUAAGCAAGGUAGUGCAAUAGAAUAGAGUGGAAAAGAAGGGAGGUAGACAUAUAAGAAGAGAAUUAGAUGUAAGAGAUGUAAAACCGAAAAGCCGAAAGGCACGGACUAAACAAUAAUAAAUAAAUAUACUCUUCUCCUUUGCUAAGUAGCAUUAACUUUUUAGCAAGUUAGAUCGCGUUGAAUGAUGCUGUAGUUAUGUUUUAAAUUAUUUAAACUCCUUGAUAAACCUCAAUGUCGUCUUUCUGAUAUUAUAUGGAAUGGUCCGAAGCGAGAACGCUGUCAGCGAACUGCACAGAUUCGUGUGUAUUACGAUACUCUUAUUGUUUUCUAGUUUCUAAAGCGUCACCGUAAAUUUUCUCGUAAAUGCUAUUACGUACAAGGUAUAUGAUAUUGCAUGUGAUAGCAAUUUCGUAUUAAAGCAACGAAGAAAGUAUAUCGUUCGUGUAUACUUGCUCGGUAAAUAGGAAUUUUAUUUUAUUUUAUUAUCUCAUUUCGCAUAUACGUGGAAGAAUUUUAAGCUCGGAAUCAAUUUUUAGACCUUAAAAUUUGUCGAUUCCUGUCCCUGUUCGUUCGACGUGGUUCAAGGAGUCUCAUCGAACAAGAUUAUUUUCGUAACGAGAUAAGGAACAGCCAGAGAUCUCGAAGCUGGUCAGUUCGUUGGCCUCGAGGAGCGUUAUCCGGCAGCCAUCUCUGCUGGAAAAUCAUCGUUCGGAUGUUUUAUCGCUCGAAGAAGCAUAAGUAGAGCAGACUACGUUACGCCGUAUCCAAUUUCCGCUUUACAGGACGAAACACAUGGAACGAUUCGUUGCUACAAACUCAUUCAUAUUCGUCGGAGUUUCUUGGAAAUGGAACAAUGCCGGCAGCUCGGCGAGCGCACGCAGAGCAAAUAAAACACCGUCUGUCGUCGAAUUAAAGGCGCCUGCCCCGGGGAGCAAGGCUUAAUGACCGAUUAAAGGCGGCGUUAUGCAACGAAAUUAAUUAUCUGCCGAUAAAUUUCGGACUCCGUGAGAGGAUGUAUUAAUGAUCGCGAUAAAGCGCGUGGCAGAAAACACGCGAGGAUACAGAUUGCAGAUUAUUUCGGCGAUAUACUCUCCGUGUACGUGUACGUGUACGUGUACACGUGAAAUCUCUGAUGAAUCCGUUCAUGGGAUAACCGUCCCGAUUUUUAAACCGAUUCCAUCGCUUAAUCGCAGCUCUGACAGGCUGUAUUCGCAAUGCGUCGCGUCGCGUCGCUGUGAAAAUGCGACCAUAUAUUCUGAGUGGCAAGAAUCGUUUCUUUACACGUUUGAACAGUCCGUUCAUUGACGAUUUUUGGCUGAAUCGAAUAACAUUGCGCGAAUAAAAUAAUUCUUGUAGCAUGUCGAUCGUUAUUCAGGAACUCCACGUAUUUCGCGGACGAUUAAUCGGAAAUUUUCCAACAAUAGAAGUAACGAUGAUUUUACAAAACUAAAUUACAAAAAUGAUUUUCAUCGUAGAUAAGGCAUUUUGUUAUUCGGAAUUUUUAAUAGCAAAAAUAUUUUUAAUAGCGGUUCUUCGAUUCCUUAAAUUUCAAAGUUUCUCGAUGUCCUUCCCUUUCUGGCGGAUCUAAACGGACGUUCGUAUAUUUCGCAGAAUUGUAUAUCAAUUUGUCAGCGCAGUGCGUAUAACGUCAGAAUCGAGAAAGCAAAUAAUCUCGAUGCAAUAUGACGUCGCGGUGAUCGCGCUGCUUUCCACGCUAUCUCAUCUAGUCUAAACAGAAAUCGGGAAAAAAGGAAAGAGGAAAUAAAGAUAAAAGCAGAGCUACGUUUUUCUAUGAAUAACUCGCGAAAACCAGUGCCCUUUAGCCGACCUAUCGACCGGAAUAAGAAUAAGCAAAAGAGCGCACGAUCGUCGUUUAAAAACAGGAACAUUUAGUUGCAAUUUAAUUAAGAGUUACCGAGAAAAUAAGAAAAGUCGGAUAACCGAACAGGACUGGUUUCACAACGUCGUCUCGUCGAAACGACGGCUUGUACGGCCGAUUACGUAACGCUCGUCCAAUUGUAGAUCUCUGAAUAAUUAGCCGCGAUCAUCGGUCCGAGUAGAAAGCUGAUUUUCCCCUUCGUCGUUGAUCGUUAGAGUCGUAUUCGCCAGAGACUCUCUUGCGGAUUGCACGAAUUGGCCUGCUAAUUAUUAUCAAUUAACGACGGGCACGGCAGAGAGAUUGACGCUAAGAAAGCGCGAAUGGCGACGAGGUCAGGAGCAAAAAGUUAAUCGAUAUUUUGAUCGGUUGUCGACAGUCGACGUUCGACGAAAGUUGUAGAGAAGGAGCCUCGAGAAGAGAAAAAGGAAGAAAAGGGAAGAGAAAAAGGAUAUGGAAAGGAGGGCGAAAACGAGAUAUAAAGAGCAGAAGGAAUUCCUUUCGGCAAGUGGAUAUUGCUAAUUCGUUAUGUAACACGUGUUUUUCUGUCACUUAUGACAGUCGCCGAUAGCGAUAUCAAUUCCAGCACAUUUGCCGGCUCGCUCGCUAAUUAUCCGCUUACGUUAAUUAUGGUAUAAGCAAUUUCGCCGAACGAUUGCGAAGCGUUCGUGGAAACGCGCGCUCCUAUUUAGCUGACGAACGCUUAAAACGAAGCGACCGAAGUCGAAGUCUUCUUCUUUGCCAUGUGGAAGAUUCGCUCAGGGAGUCGAGUCUGAAUUUGUACGAAAAUUUAUUCGCGAAACGUUCGUCCGGCUCGUAACGACGCAACGGGGCCGUCUUCCUUUUAAUCGACGCUUAAUGGAUGCAAAUUUCAUUCAGACGCGAAAGUUAGUCGCUCGCGGAGCAAAGCGAGCGAAGAAUCGACGAUCGACGAUCGGUCCAUCCAAAGGGGGGAGCUGCUCCGAGGGAAUCCGGCGCCAUUAAAGCAAAUUUCCGUAAUACUUUUCCAGUGAAAGUGAUUCGAACGGAAUCGUCCCUCGGCGUCCGAUGCCGCCACGAUCAUCGUUGAAUUUAAUUAUCACGACGGUUCGUGCGAACGUUCGUCCAGUUGGCUGGAAAGUUCGCUAGAAUCGUCGACGGAACAGAACUGUCCCCAUAAACCCUAUCAUCUUCUCCUUUCGUUGUCUCUCUUUCCUUUAAGAGAUUAAAUCUCGGAAGAUGCUUGCGCGUGAUUGAUUGGAGAUAAAUUAUUACGUUUACGUUUAAACGUAACGAUGUAAGAUCGAUUUACUUCGUACACCUGCUUCCCCCUUUCACCUUUAACAAAAAAAUUCGCAAAUUAUUCUUACGCGCUCGAUCUACUAAAAAUGCGCUACAAAGGAUGCACACCAGACAUUAAUGCGUGGUCCCUAAAAAGAUCGAAAUCUGUCGAGGGGGGCAAAAAGCAGGAGCGUCUUUGGAAAAGACACGCGACGACGCAAUUAGCGCGCGGGCGAUCGGCAUCUUGGCCGGGGAACGAGUAUAAUUCACGGUCGAAAAUCGCAGAUUACCGAGGCGAAAUCGCGAGGCCUUUCGCGAGAGACAUCGUGGCGAGCGACGCGAGUCAUUUAUCAGCCGCGAACGAUUCAAUCGCGGGCCCUGAAUUAACGUUAACUUCAACACGGCAUCCGAAUCGAUCUCCGUGUUAAUUAAUAUUCCUCGCGAGCGGCGAGCGGUGUCGAAGAAAAAGAGAAAAUCGAAACGACGGAGAGCGGAGGGAACGGUCGUGAGAAAGAGGCAAGCUACGUAGAAAGAAACGAGAGGAUGUUAGUUAAUCCUAAACCGGUUAUAAACGCGUUUGGUCAUCGUGAUAUCGUUGACUUACUAAUUGCGUGGAUAAAAGACAAAUAUAUUUCUUGGAGAAAGACAGAAGGAGCACGAUCGACUUAGGGGUUAAUCGUCGAGCCGCAACUAUCGCGAAAAUCGUUUUCGCGUGGAAAGGAAUCGGUCAGAGGUCCUAUCCUACGGAAUCUAAUUACCCUAUGUAAAUAGGUUUCAGUUGAUCCCUAUGGUCUGCGUUCGAUUAACAUUGACGUUUGUUCGUGCGCCAUUGUGAAACAUACCGGAAACGAGGAUAUCGAUAGUAGUAUCGAGUUACAUGCGCGAAAAAAAGUUUAAAUCGUUGCACAGAAAGAAAGUAAAAAGCUUCCGGAGAUUUCUGGAUUCGGCGAUCUUUUCCCUGGUCAAAUGUUUCGACGUAUCCAAGCAACGACUAUUGUAAUUUUAUAACGAUAUUAGUAACGAUACUAGAUGGUAAUAGAAACUCUUCUUUUCGUUCAUCGAGAUAAUUAUCGCCCAUCAAUUUCACGAACGAUUGUAAUUUACGUUAGAGUGGUCCAUCUCGCUCGUAGUGGCAAGCGAAAGAUGUCUCGUCAGUUAGAAUAGUAUUUCUCACUUUCUGCGGUUAUUUAUAGAAAUAUUACGUCGACAUUCUUACGUACGUUAGAAGGAAUCGUGCAAACUCACGAGGAUGGUGUUUGAUUUUCAAACAUCUUUAAAAACAUGGUUCGUCUCUCGUGGACUUGCGCUAAAGCAAAGAUGUUCUGCUUCUGCUCUAGAUCGUUCAUACGAUUAAAAACAAUAAAUACACGUCAGACGCAAUUUUAAAAAUUCGUGGUUCAAUUAAUAUAUCUCUUAAAAACGAUGUACAUUUUGAUAGGCGACACCUUGUAUCUCUAACGGACACUGUAAGUAAAAGAUACUUAAGCGGAACAAUGGUAUUUCCGGAGAGAACGUUUAUCGCUGGUCGAUUUUGAUACCCACGACUGGUAGAAAUUGUGAGACGAUGUUCCAUCUUCGUUAAGCUAGCCAGCCGAUCGUCCAAUGAAUCCGUCGAUAUAACGUGCCGAGGGAACUUUCUAUCGGACCAUUUACGCGACGUAACAUCGUGCCGUAAUUUCGCGCAAUUUAUUCGAUGGUAAGGACGCUCGGUGAAUUGUUACUCAUGCACCGCCUAAGUGUGCGCAAAGUGGUAGCUCGUGUAGUUGGGCCGUAGGUGGCCGAUACGAAAGCACGCUCGUAUCGUAAAGCACACGACAUUAUUGUUUCUCAGCUCGAAGGCUGGCGCUGAUCACCCUUGCGAGAUGGCAGAUUUCUUCUCAGACCCUUCGGCAGAGAACGGUGCAAGAUCGUUAAGAGAGGGAGAAAUAGAAACUGUUGCGUUGGAAGAAAUCUAGAUUUCCUUAUUGCGUAAGAUCACAUAGAUCCUUGCGACGGAGAUGUAUUUACGAUGUGCGCGCGUUAAAGAAUCUCUUCGAUAAUAGAAUCGCAGGAUUUCGUUGAUAGGCGAUAUGUCAAACUAUUGGAAAGUUGUUACCUUUUGUGAAGAGGAACGUUCACGAUCAUUUGAAACGUAGCGAUAGAUAUAAAAUAUAUUAUGUUCGUCUGUAGGGCCGCUAGAAAAUAAAGCUAA